UGUGUGUAUAUAAUGCAGUGUGUUUGUGUAGUGUGCAUUAUAUAAACACACUACACAAACACACUGCAUUAUAUACACAA